CCUUUAUUUAGUGAAUAAAAGUUUAAAGCCGAAGGUUAUUUAUGGUUGUGCAGAGAUGAGACCUGAGUGGCUAUUUACGAGCACGUGAUUCCAAUAAACUUUGUUUUAUGGCUUGAGAGUUGACAAGCCAAAAUAUAAUUCCCACCAUAAAUUAGGUUAAGAGCAUACAAGUGCAGAUGCUUGGUUCUUGGAGCAGCGAUAGGGAAGUGAGAGGCUCCAGCUAGCGCCAGGCUCAGAAGGAGACAGUGCUACUCCCAGUUCCCCUGCCCACUAGGAGAGAAAACCAGUUCGAGACCAAGCGAGACUGCCGCCGCCUCCCUAGCUCGCACAGGUGCAGCCCCGCUGCUGCCUCCGCUUCUAUGAAGAGCUUGCAGCUAAUUAGCAGCCCGCCCUAUUUACAAGUUUCAGCGAGCAUCGCUUUCUGCUCGAACCAGCCUGCCAAACGCCAAAGGAUCCCGGUUCCCCUCCGCUGCCCAGCCUGGCCCAACUUCUCUUCUCUCG